rnacentral:rRNA from 1 species
CGACCUUGCCUCGUGGUGGGGGAUAGCCGGCCCAACGGCCGGGUAAUACCGCAUAGGGUAGUUUCUUCGCAUGGGGAGACUAGCAAAGCCGUGCAGCAAUGCACUGGCGCCACAGGGGGGCUCGCGGCCUAUCAGCUAGUUGGGGGGGUAAUGGCCCACCAAGGCGACGACGGGUAGCUGGUCUGAGAGGAUGGCCAGCCACAUUGGGACUGAGAGACGGCCCAG